AGAGUUUGAUCAUGGCUCAGGACGAACGCUGGCGGCGUGCCUAACACAUGCAAGUCGAGCGGAGACAGCAGAAAUGUUGUUUUAGCGGCGGACGGGUGAGUAACGCGUGGGCAACCUGCCUUUCACUGGGGGAUAACACUGGGAAACUAGUGCUAAUACCGCAUAACAUCACGGGAUGACAUCUUCCUGUGAUCAAGGGAGCAAUCCGGUGAAAGAUGGGCCCGCGUCCGAUUAGCUAGUUGGUGAUGUAACGGACCACCAAGGCGACGAUCGGUAGCCGAACUGAGAGGUUGAUCGGCCACAUUGGGACUGAGACACGGCCCAGACUCCUACGGGAGGCAGCAGUGGGGAAUAUUGCGCAAUGGAGGAAACUCUGACGCAGCAACGCCGCGUGAAGGAUGAAGGUUUUCGGAUCGUAAACUUCUUUGAUUGGGGACGAAAAA
rnacentral:rRNA from 1 species